rnacentral:rRNA from 1 species
AUUUGACCUCGGAUCAGGUAGCUAACCCCACG